rnacentral:rRNA from 1 species
GACGAACGCUGGCGGCGUGCUUAACACAUGCAAGUCGAACGGAAAGGCCCUGCUUUUGUGGGGUGCUCGAGUGGCGAACGGGUGAGUAACACGUGAGUAACCUGCCCUUGACUUUGGGAUAACUUCAGGAAACUGGGGCUAAUAUCGGAUAGGAGCUCCUGCUGCAUGGUGGGGGUUGGAAAGUUUCGGCGGUGGGGGAUGGACUCGCGGCUUAUCAGCUUGUUGGUGGGGUAGUGGCUUACCAAGGCUUUGACGGGUAGCCGGCCUGGGGGGGUGACCGGCCACAUUGGGACUGAGAUACGGCCCAGACUCCUACGGGAGGCAGCAGUGGGGAAUAUUGCACAAUGGGCGGAAGCCUGAUGCAGCAACGCCGCGUGCGGGAUGACGGCCUUCGGGUUGUAAACCGCUUUCGCCUGUGACGAAGCGUGAGUGACAGUAAUGGGUAAAGAAGCACCGGCUAACUACGUG